rnacentral:rRNA from 1 species
CCCAGACUCCUACGGGAGGCAGCAGUGGGGGAUAUUGCACAAUGGGGGAAACCCUGAUGCAGCGACGCCGCGUGGGUGAAGAAGCGCCUCGGCGCGUAAAGCCCUGUCAGCAGGGAAGAAAAUGACGGUACCUGAAGAAGAAGCCCCGGCUAACUACGUGCCAGCAGCCGCGGUAAUACGUAGGGGGCAAGCGUUAUCCGGAUUUACUGGGUGUAAAGGGAGCGUAGACGGCAGUGCAAGUCCGGAGUGAAAGCCCGGGGCUCAACCCUGGGACUGCUCUGGAAACUGUAAAGCUGGAGUGCGGGAGGGGCAGGCGGAAUUCCUGGUGUAGCGGUGAAAUGCGUAGAUAUCAGGAGGAACACCGGCGGCGAAGGCGGCCUGCUGGACCGUAACUGACGUUGAGGCUCGAAAGCGUGGGGAGCAAACAGGAUUAGAUACCCCUGUACA